UACGGGGGGGGCAAGCGUUGUUCGGAAUUACUGGGCGUAAAGGGCUCGUAGGCGGCCCACUAAGUCAGAUGUGAAAUCCCCAGGCUCAACCUGGGAACUGCGUCUGAUACUGGAUGGCUUGAAUCCGGGAGAGGGAUGCAGAAUUCCAGGUGUAGCGGUGAAAUGCGUAGAUAUCUGGAGGAAUACCGGUGGCGAAGGCGGCAUCCUGGACCGGCAUUGACGCUGAGGAGCGAAAGCCAGGGGAGCAAACGGG
rnacentral:rRNA from 1 species